CCACAUGUGGCAGACAAGACGAAAUCGCGUCCUGCACGCCUGCACGAAAUCGCGUCAGUGCACGGAGCAACGACUCUUGAGUCCUGACUGACAUAUAGCUUGGAAGGUCCGGGAAUAAAGGCAUUUUACAAGACUGGAUACAAUGAGACUCACAUCUGCUCUGGAUGACGUCCCCAUUGCGGUAGAUGAGGUGCCCGUCCUCAUCAUCUUCUACGUGGUCCUGCGACACCUGACGACAGCGAGGGACUACAGGUCAGACUGGAGUGUUUGUAAAUCCGAGCAGUGGAAGGUGGAAAGACUGGACUCCGCGCAUACAUACGGUGAUAUGCAUAAGUGGCUGACAAC